GAACGCACCUUGCGCUCCUUGGUAUUCCAAGGAGCAUGCCUGUUUGAGUGUCAUGAAAUUCUCAACCUCUCUAGUUUGUUUAAAGACUAGUUAGGCUUGGAUUUGGAGGUUGCUGGCUCGUUCAGCUCUUCUUAAAUAUAUUAGCGAAGAUCUUUGCUGCUCAUCAUUGGUAUGAUAAUUAUCUAUAUCAUUGAUAAACAGUGUCCUUCACGGGAGAGCUCUUGCUUCUAAUCGUCUUUCUAAGACAAUUUGACAAAUUUUGACCUCAAAUCAGGUAGGACUACCCGCUGAACUUA
rnacentral:misc_RNA from 1 species